rnacentral:rRNA from 1 species
UACGUAGGGUGCGAGCGUUAAUCGGAAUUACUGGGCGUAAAGCGUGCGCAGGCGGUUUUGUAAGCCAGAUGUGAAAUCCCCGGGCUUAACCUGGGAACGGCAUUUGGGACUGCAAGGCUCGAGUGCGGCAGAGGAGACUGGAAUUCCUGGUGUAGCAGUGAAAUGCGUAGAUAUCAGGAGGAAGACCAGUGGCGAAGGCGGGUCUCUGGACAGUUCCUGACACUGAGGCACGAAGGCCAGGGGAGCAAACGGG